GACGAACGCUGGCGGCGUGCUUAACACAUGCAAGUCGAACGCUGAAGCUCAGCUUGCUGGGUGGAUGAGUGGCGAACGGGUGAGUAACACGUGAGUAACCUGCCCUCUUCUUUGGGAUAACGCCCGGAAACGGGUGCUAAUACUGGAUAUUCACUGAUUCUCGCAUGGGGGUUGGUGGAAAGGUUUUUUCUGGUGGGGGAUGGGCUCGCGGCCUAUCAGCUUGUUGGUGGGGUGAUGGCCUACCAAGGCUUUGACGGGUAGCCGGCCUGAGAGGGUGACCGGUCACGUUGGGACUGAGAUACGGCCCAGAGUCCUACGGGAGGCAGCAGUGGGGAAUAUUGCACGAUGGGCGAAAGCCUGAUGCAGCGGCGCCGCGUGAGGGAUGGAGGCCUUCGGGUUGGAAACCUCUUUCGCUCAUGGUCAAGCCGCAGCUUGGGGUUGUGGUGAGGGUAGUGGGUAAAGAAGCGCCGGCUAACUACGUG
rnacentral:rRNA from 1 species